UGGGCUGGCCGGGCGACCGCGUUCGUCUCCUCACGGAGGCGGCCGAGGAAGGUCCGGGCUCCACAGAGCAAGGUGGUGGGCAACACCCACCCGGGGUGACCCGCGGGAAAGUGCCACAGAAAACAGACCGCCCGCUCUCACGAGCGGGUAAGGGUGAAACGGUGGUGUAAGAGACCACCAGCGUGCCGGGUGACCGGUGCGGCUAGGUAAACCCCACCUGGAGCAAGAUCAAGAAGCCACUCCCCUUCGGAGGAAUGGUGCGCACACGUUCGAGGGCUGCUCGCCCGAGUGUGCGGGUAGAUCGCCCGAGGCUGUCGGCAACGGCAGCCCUAGAUGGAUGGUCGCCAACCGGGGCCACGCAAGGAACCCCGGCGAACAGAACCCGGCCUAUGAGCCAGCCCGUCCG
rnacentral:RNase_P_RNA from 4 species